UACGAAGGGGGCUAGCGUUGCUCGGAAUUACUGGGCGUAAAGCGCGCGUAGGCGGACCUGCAAGUCGGGGGUGAAAGCCCGAGGCUCAACCUCGGAACUGCCUUCGAUACUGCGGGUCUCGAGUCCGGGAGAGGUGAGUGGAAUUCCUAGUGUAGAGGUGAAAUUCGUAGAUAUUAGGAAGAACACCAGUGGCGAAGGCGGCUCACUGGCCCGGUACUGACGCUGAGGUGCGAAAGCGUGGGGAGCAAACAGGG
rnacentral:rRNA from 1 species